AUUGCACGCUGGCGUCAGGCUUAACACAUGCAAAUCGACCGAGCGGCGGACGGGUUAGUAAUGUCAGGGAAAGUGAGUGAUGGAGGGGGAUAACUACUGGAAACAGUCUCUAAUAGGGCCUAACAUCAGAUGUGACGCGAUGGGAUUAGAUAGUAGGUGGGGUCAUGUCUCACCUAGGCGACGAUCCCGCGCUGGUCUGAGAGGAUGACCAGCCAAACUGGAACUGAGACACGGUCCAGACUCCUACGGGAGGGAGCAGUGGUGAAUAGUGCACAAUGGGCGCAAGCCUGAUGAAGCCAUGCCGCGUGUGUUAAGAAGGCCUUCGUGUUGUAAAGCACUUUCAGCGAGGAGGCGUUACUCGCAGAAGAAGCACCGGCUAACUCCGUGCCAGCCGCCGCGGUAAUAC
rnacentral:rRNA from 1 species